GAGAGCACGUGUGCUGGUUAUUUAGCGCAAGACAGUACGGCUUAAUAUCUUGUCAGACGCGGUCGUAGGAAAAAGCUUGGAUCCAAGAUGAACAGUAAAGGUGUCGUUGUGCUUCUAGUGUGCUGUCUGCUAGCCGUACAGCUGGCCUCGGUGAACGGUAACUGCUACCGGUACGUCUGUAAGCGGCGAUGUCAAUACACGGCGCCAAACUAUGAUGAGUAUGCGUUCCGGUACCUGUGGCCGCUUGCCUGCGGGCGGAGGGCCGUCGAUCGCUGGGGAGUGAAGGCGUGUUGUCGGACGAUGGGUCGAUAUUAAAUCCAUAUUUCUAGACAAAAUGUCAGACGGUUCAAGGUCAAGUGAAAACAAAUAAAUUCCAGCUAAACCCUGAUGUUUAGAGAUAGAGAAUGAAAUUGUUUUAUUUAUAUCUGUACACGUAUAAAUUAUUGGUUAAAGAAG